rnacentral:rRNA from 1 species
CACGCCCUAAACGAUGAUCACUGGGUGUUGGGGAAGCGAUUCCUUGGUACCGUAGCUAACGCGUGAAGUGAUCCGCCUGGGGAGUACGGUCGCAAGAUUAAAACUCAAAGGAAUUGACGGGGACCCGCACAAGCGGUGGAUGAUGUGGAUUAAUUCGAUGCAACGCGAACAACCUUACCUACCCUUGACAUGUCCGGAACCCUGCUGAGAGGUGGGGCGCCCGAAAGGAAUCGGAACACAGGUGCUGCGUGGCUGUCGUCAGCUCGUGUCGUGAGAUGUUGGGUUAAGUCCCGCAACGAGCGCAACCCUUGUCCCUAGUUGCUACGCAAGGGCACUCUAGGGAGACUGCCGGUGACAAACCG